UACGAAGGGGGCUAGCGUUGCUCGGAAUCACUGGGCGUAAAGGGUGCGUAGGCGGGUCUUUAAGUCAGGGGUGAAAUCCUGGAGCUCAACUCCAGAACUGCCUUUGAUACUGAGGAUCUUGAGUUCGGGAGAGGUGAGUGGAACUGCGAGUGUAGAGGUGAAAUUCGUAGAUAUUCGCAAGAACACCAGUGGCGAAGGCGGCUCACUGGCCCGUUACUGACGCUGAGGCACGAAAGCGUGGGGAGCAAACAGGG
rnacentral:rRNA from 1 species